rnacentral:rRNA from 1 species
CCCGUCACACCAUGAGAGUUGGGAAUACCCGAAGCCUGUGAGCUAACAUAUGAGGCAGCAGUCGAAGGUAGAAUCAAUGAUUGGGGUGAAGUCGUAACAAGGUACC